ensembl:snRNA U6 U6 spliceosomal RNA
GUGCUCACUUUGGCAGUAAAUAAAUUAAAAUUUCAACAAUACAGAGAACAUUAGCAUGGCCCCUGUGCAAGGCUAGCAAAAAAAAUCCUGUAGUGUUCCAUAUUUUU